rnacentral:rRNA from 1 species
GAUGAACGCUGGCGGCGUGCCUAAUACAUGCAAGUCGAGCGAACGGACGAGAAGCUUGCUUCUCUGAUGUUAGCGGCGGACGGGUGAGUAACACGUGGAUAACCUACCUAUAAGACUGGGAUAACUUCGGGAAACCGGAGCUAAUACCGGAUGAUAUUUUGAACAGCAUGGUUCAAAAGUGAAAGACGGUCUUGCUGUCACUUAUAGAUGGAUCCGCGCUGCAUUAGCUAGUUGGUAAGGUAACGGCUUACCAAGGCAACGAUGCAUAGCCGAACUGAGAGGGUGAUCGGCCACACUGGAACUGAGACACGGUCCAGACUCCUACGGGAGGCAGCAGUAGGGAAUCUUCCGCAAUGGGCGAGAGCCUGACGGAGCAACGCCGCGUGAGUGAUGAAGGUCUUCGGAUCGUAAAACUCUGUUAUUAGGGAAGAACAUAUGUGUAAGUAACUGUGCACAUCUUGACGGUACCUAAUCAGAAAGCCACGGCUAACUACGUG